GCCCGACGCUUAGGAGGCUCCGCGGCCGCGCUCGGCGCCCUAUCCCGUACUCUCGCCGCCCCGUCCCUUCCUCGUCCGCUCCGCGUCCCCGCCCCGCUCGGUCCUGCGGUGCCGUGGCGAUGCUGUCGGGCUGCGGGCGGUCCCCCCCCCCCAGAAAACGGCACAGGGCGGCAGAUACAACGUCAGGCUCUGCAGGAGCCCUGGGCCUCACUUAGGGCUUCCUGUGGAGCAUGAAGUGCUGCUGCUGCCGGGAGAGAGAAAUCCUUUGGGAAGCUGGGAUACAAACAGCAACUCUGUGAAUUGCUCAGCUUUUCAUAGGUAAGAGCAGGUUUUAGGGAAGAAACCCCUCUAGUGAGUAAUCAGAACAGAAAGGUGGAAGCUAGGAGUCUUUGACUUCCGCAGUGCACGUAAUUUUCUUGUGCUCCUCUCUUUCAGGACAAGGAAAAUCAUUGCCUUGGGUCCAGCGAUGCCAAAUGCGUUGGAGUGUGAGCAGCCACAGGCAACAGGCUCCAGCCCCGAUGACCAGCACUGGGGGCACCUGGUCCUGCCCGUGGGGUGGGGAAGUGGGCUGUGACAAGGGGAUGUCCUCCCACUAGGCUGAGGAUCAGGGUAGGCUCUGCCCAGGGGACGACUGCCACUGCUGGACAGGGAAGAGCACCUUUGCCCCCACCCCCGGCAAACUGGGAAGGAGUAACAUCUGCCUGCAGCUGGCUGGAGUUCCUGUUGGCUCUGGGCUUUCUGUCCAUGGGCCGGGGUUCAUGGCCAGAGUCCUUCAAACCUGGGGAACAGUGGCCUUCACACCAUCCCUGCAGCCCGUCCAGCGCAGGCUGUUGCUCAUCGGCCCCUGAUCGCAGGUGGAUAUGGAAGUGAUGGUGUUUAGGGAAUGCUGAUUGUAUUUCCCUAACUUUGGCAACGCAGUCAUUAAAAAGAGAAAAGUAACAAGUCUAUGGAAAUCCCCCGCACUUGGGAGCUUCUGGUGCUCUGGAUUAAAUCUUGGCUCUAUAACGUUAAAACUGUGGGCGAGGGGCGGUGGCCGAGCAGGGCCAGCGGCGGGG
rnacentral:lncRNA from 1 species